CCCUUAGAUGUCCGGGGCCGCACGCGCGCUACACUGAAGCAUUCAACGAGUUUCUUCCUGGUCCGAGAGGAAUGGGUAACCUUUUGAAAGUGCAUCGUGAUAGGGAUAGACUAUUGCAAUUAUUGGUCUUCAACGAGGAAUUCCUAGUAGACGUAGUUCAUCAGACUGCAUCGAUUACGUCCCUGCCCUUUGUACACACCGCCCGUCGCUCCUACCGAUUGAAUGCUCAGGUGAGCCAUUCGGACUUUCAUCAUGCUGGUUUCCAGUUUUGAUGAAGGAAAGUCUUGCGAACCUUAUCAUUUAGAGGAAGGAGAAGUCGUAACA
rnacentral:rRNA from 1 species